UACAACUUUCAGCAACGGAUCUCUUGGCUCUCGCAUCGAUGAAGAACGCAGCGAAAUGCGAUAAGUAAUGUGAAUUGCAGAAUUCAGUGAAUCAUCGAAUCUUUGAACGCACCUUGCGCUCCUUGGUAUUCCGAGGAGCAUGCCUGUUUGAGUGUCAUU
rnacentral:rRNA from 10 species